rnacentral:rRNA from 1 species
AUUCCAGCUCCAAUAGCGUAUAUUAAAGUUGAUGCAGUUAAAAAGCUCGUAUUUGAAUUUUUGUCUGUUGGGGCCUUGUUCUGUCCUUAGUGGCGGAGUUUAGUGUCCCGACGGACUUCCUGGGGGCCAACUAGUUGGUGUUUCAUUACACUGAUUAGGGAACCCCCUCGUUUACUGUGAAAAAAUUAGAGUGUUUCAAGCAGGCGUUUCGCAUUGAAUACAUUAGCAUGGAAUAAUAAGAUAGGACUUUGGUGCUAUUUUGUUGGUUUGCACACCAAGGUAAUGAUUAAGAGGGACAGUUGGGGGUAUUCGUAUUAUCAUGUCAGAGGUGAAAUUCUUGGAUUUUGGUAAGACGAACUACUGCGAAAGCAUUUACCAAGGAUGUUUUCAUUG